CUCCCUUCCACUCUCUCUAAAAUUCAAUGGAAAAAGACUACAUAUAGGUGUGAAAAUUAAAGCCUCUUUUGCAACCCAGAACUCAUUGUUCAGUAUGAGUUUUGAUACAUAUAUUAAGGAACAUU